rnacentral:rRNA from 1 species
AGGUAGCAAUACCUAGCGGCAGACGGGUGCGUAACAUGUGGGAAUCUGCCUUUUGGUUCGGAACAACACGGGGAAACUUGUGCUAAUACCGGAUAAGCCCUUACGGGGAAAGUUUUAAUGCCAAAAGAUGAGCCCGCACUUGAUUAGCUAGUUGGUAAGGUAAUGGCUCACCAAGGCGACGAUCAAUAGCUGGUUUGAGAGGAUGACCAGCCACAAUGGGACUGAGAUACGGCCCAUACUCC